rnacentral:rRNA from 1 species
UACGUAGGGUGCGAGCGUUGUCCGGAUUUAUUGGGCGUAAAGAGCUCGUAGGCGGUUUGUCGCGUCGGCCGUGAAAUCUCCACGCUUAACGUGGAGCGUGCGGUCGAUACGGGCAGACUUGAGUUCGGUAGGGGAGACUGGAAUUCCUGGUGUAGCGGUGAAAUGCGCAGAUAUCAGGAGGAACACCGAUGGCGAAGGCAGGUCUCUGGGCCGAUACUGACGCUGGAGGAGCGAAAGCGUGGGGAGCGAACAGG